AUGCCCAGGUAUUAUUUUUACAUUGAAACUACUUUCCACUAGAAGACUUAAUUCAAACAAUGCACUGUGUAUUAUGAAUAUAUAUAUAUAUAUAUAUAAGAAAAAUUCAGAAGUCGAAGUAGGAGUGGAUUGCUGAGUUGAAAUUUUAGAAUUAUAUAGUCUACUCAUAAAGUCAUUGCCCUGUUAAAUUUGGUACAAUUUCAAAGUCAUUUGAGGGUUAAGCAUUUGGUAGAACUAAGCAUUUCAUUAGGAGUGACUUAAAAUCUCAGGAAUAGAUUUUGUUCGCUUCAAAAAGGGGAAAAUUGUGGUUUCUUAUUUUAUUUGAAUAGUUUAUGAUUUUAAUUGUCUUAAAUGCAAAGACGCAUAUAUGGUCAUGCAACCGAAGAUGAAAUUAGCCCUUUGAAUGAAGAGAAAGCUAUUCAGGCCGCUGUAGACCUUAUUGGGGAACUUUUCAUCUUCUCGGUGACAUUUAUUUGCCUGUUUGCAUAUUAUAACAAUGCAUGAUAUAAAAAAUGACUACAAAUUUUACUAAAUAAAAUUGAUGUAUCAACUUUAUACACAAAACAAAAAAUUAAUUUAUUAUGUUGUUAAUGUGGCACCAAUCACAUUCAUUGCCACGUCAAUUUGUAGGUCUUUUGUAGUAAAAUUGUUAGAUAUUAUAGCAGUUUCAUAUAAGAAUUCCCCUAACUCUUUUGCACUCAUAUAGAAACAAAGGGUAAUAGUAGAACUUGACCACUGAAGUAUGUUUUUGGGCUUGUGCUAUUCUGUAUACUUUUGUAUAUUUAUGCAUGUGUCAUUUUAUAUACAAGCCAAGGUAUAUUUCUUAUAAUAAAUGUAUUUGCACCUUUGUCUGCUGCUGUAUCAUGACCAACUAGCCUAUAGAAAGUUAUAAAAAAUGGUACCAUGCGUUACUGUUACUCAAUGUCUUGAAAUGCAGCUAGUAUGAAGCGCAGUAAAGUCUUAGAAUGAUUUAAGAAAUGCCUUGAAUCAAACUAACUAAUAUUGUGAUCAGAUGUGGAUGAUGAUAUGGGUUUGUGGAAUAUAAUGUGAGGAGUGAAUCUCAAUGGGCCAAUUCUAAAACAAUGAAAGGAUUUGGGGUUUUGAGUGAUAGCUCAAUGGUACUAGCACCAUCUAUGGUGCCCAGUAUUUUGGAUUCAAACCCCCCCACCCCACCCCCCCCCCCNGUUUGGGGAAAUUUGAUUCCUGUAUAUAAAAGUAACACAAUUUGAAUCUGACAACACUCUAUAUGGUUGACUUCAAAUUUAUUUGAAAUAUGAUCCUUCCUUUCCUUUCUUUGUAUCACAUUGGAAGGUGAGUUUUGGGCAUGAGGAUGACAAAAGUGAAGGGACUUGUGUUCACAGGAUGCAUAGAGAAUUUCACUACUCAGAUUUAGGACUUGAUCAUUAGGUGUUUGGGUAACACAAAUAUAUAGCUGAAACACAAGGCCUGUGUUACAUUGCUAUGAUUUUAAUAUUUUUUCUCUAUAUUAAAAAAAAAAAGAAUGAGAAGAAGCUUUUGGAAAGUUUAGGAAAGAAAAUUAUUUCAAAAAUUAGCUUUUCUCUUUAUUUUUUUAAAAAUUGUUUUUGGAAUAAGAACACAAUGGUAGCCAGUAAUAUGGGUCUACAGAGAAGAAUGGCAAAGUGGAACUUGUGAUACAUGAACAUUGUUUUGGAUUGCAUUCUAGAUUCUCUGUUUUGUUUUUAUUUUUUGUGUACUGGUGUGACACUUGUCAAAUUUCUUUGUUUUUAACAGAUAUCAUUACAGGGCAAGAUGGAAUUCAGCUUAUGUCUCCACUCUGCACUGUGAAAUUCUCAGUUCUUGUGAACAGAUCCCCAACUGGCAUUUUCAGUAUUACCGGUUAUUCACACUUCUCUAUGGAUCUAUCAUCAUCUUGUGGGGAUGUACAAUUGAGCUAAGCUAUCUUAGUUGUCUGCAUCUUUGCUUUGAGGCUCCCAUAUUAAAAAUGAAAAUGGGUUUAAGUGACUUUGUUUUGGUGGGAGAGUACUGGGUGGUCUUCAAGGCUAUAAGGUAGGUUCUCUUCUCAUGCCAAAAUAAGUUUGUGGUUGCUGCUAGAAACUAUGUUUUAGGCAGUUUGGAAUGUGCUGAUUGAACAAAUGUGGACAUUGUAAUUGGCAGAAAUUAUAUUUGACAAAAGGAUAUGCUGGAUUGCUCUUUUUAGAGUACUUUAAAGUUUGCCUAUUUUCCUUAUCUCUUCAGUGUGCUGAUCCAUGUGGCAAAUAUGUAAGAUAAACUGAAGUUCAAUUUCCAUUUUUUUUUAUUGGUUCAUUUGAUAAUUAUAUUUUGUACCUUUCUAAGAAUCAUAUCAAAUAGUUGUAAAAUCGAAUUUUUAAAAAUGAAAGAAGAUUUUCUCCAAUAGUUUUCCUUUCAUUAGCUACUGCUUUGUUCACAUGUAUUUUUUUUUCAUUUUAGUUAGUCAGUGAUUAAAAUUCUUUUACCAAUUAGGUGUCACAUUGAAUAGCCCUAUCCCAGCAAGUGCAUUCUCAAAUGAUUUGUUAAAUGAAUUGUUAUCCCCCCAUAAAUAAAUUUUAUCAUUCCUGUUGGUGCAUAAAAUAAGGCCAUUCCUGUGCUGAUGGUGAAUGUCCAAGAAUAAAUCUGACAUAAAAAAUGGAUCAUUCCCUCUUUGGAUUGUUACAAUACCAAAUGCUUAAUGGGAAUAAAGUUAGUGAUGGAUUCAUGGUCAAGGCUUGGAUUGAAAUGGUCAAACUUUUCAUGGGAAAUUUGGUCUCACCAUCACAAAGAUGCUCAGCAUAGAUACAAACAUUUGAGGAAGCAAUGUAAUGAUACAAAGGUUCUUCUUGUACAUAAUGGGUUGUCUUGAGAUUGGGAGAAAUAGUAACCUCUGAGAUUAUGUCUAGGAUUCUUAUACCUAGGUGAAUUUCCAUUUAUCCAUUCUAGUAUCUUUUGACAAUUAUUGGCUCUAUUUUGUUGCUUAUAUAUAAAAUAUCAGUCAUAUAGAAAUAAAUAUGUGCCAAGCUGUUUGAAAUGAUUUGUUAUAGAUGGCAAAGAGGUUACUAACAGAGAAAACAUUUUUGUAUGCAGUGCAUAUUUCAACAUUGAAGACCCAAUUCUGAUGAUUGGUAUGUUUGUUCAGCAUUGA
rnacentral:sRNA from 1 species